rnacentral:rRNA from 1 species
UACGGGGGGAGCAAGCGUUGUUCGGAUUUACUGGGCGUAAAGGGCGCGUAGGCGGCGUAACAAGUCACUUGUGAAAUCUCCGGGCUUAACCCGGAGCGGCCAAGUGAUACUGUUGUGCUAGAGUGCGGAAGGGGCUACUGGAAUUCUCGGUGUAGAGGUGAAAUUCGUAGAUAUUCGCAAGAACACCAGUGGCGAAGGCGGCUCACUGGCCCAUUACUGACGCUGAGGCACGAAAGCGUGGGGAGCAAACAGG